rnacentral:rRNA from 1 species
GACGAACCGUGCGAACGUUAUUCGGAAUCACUGGGCUUAAAGGGCGCGUAGGCGGGUCACCAAGUCCGGGGUGAAAUCCCACGGCCCAACCGUGGAAGUGCCUUGGAUACUGGAGACCUCGAGGGGGAUAGGGGCGUGCGGAACUCAGGGUGGAGCGGUGAAAUGCGUAGAUAUCCUGAGGAACACCGGUGGCGAAAGCGGCGCGCUGGAUCCCUUCUGACGCUGAGGCGCGAAAGCCAGGGGAGCAAACAGG